rnacentral:rRNA from 1 species
GAUGAACGCUGGCGGCAUGCCUAAUACAUGCAAGUCGAGCGAAUGGAUUAAGAGCUUGCUCUUAUGAAGUUAGCGGCGGACGGGUGAGUAACACGUGGGUAACCUGCCCAGAAGACUGGGAUAACUCCGGGAAACCGGGGCUAAUACCGGAUAAUAUUUUGAACUGCAUGGUUCAAAAUUGAAAGGCGGCUUCGGCUGUCACUUAUGGAUGGACCCGCGUCGCAUUAGCUAGUUGGUGAGGUAACGGCUCACCAAGGCAACGAUGCGUAGCCGACCUGAGAGGGUGAUCGGCCACACUGGGACUGAGACACGGCCCAGACUCCUACGGGAGGCAGCAGUAGGGAAUCUUCCGCAAUGGACGAAAGUCUGACGGAGCAACGCCGCGUGAGUGAUGAAGGCUUUCGGGUCGUAAAACUCUGUUGUUAGGGAAGAACAAGUGCUAGUUGAAUAAGCUGGCACCUUGACGGUACCUAACCAGAAAGCCACGGCUAACUACGUGCCAGCCGCCGCCGUAA